rnacentral:misc_RNA from 1 species
UCAAACUUGGUCAUUUAGAGGAAGUAAAAGUCGUAACAAGGUUUCCGUAGGUGAACCUGCGGAAGGAUCAUUACUGAGAAUGGGUUGUGGGAGGAUUGACGCAGCCGGGGGUGAUUGACUCCGGUCAAUUCCCUCAGGCGGUGUCAAUCCUCCCCACAACCCUCACCUCUAACCCUCUGUUUACCUGUUUUGUUGCUUUGGCGGGUUGCGCGCGCGCCCGCCAGAGGCCCCACGAACUCUGUUUCAACGUCGUCGUUCGGGCCCAUCGGGCCUUGUGAUUUUUAAUCAUGUCAAAACUUUCAACAACGGAUCUCUUGGUUCCGGCAUCGAUGAAGAACGCAGC